rnacentral:rRNA from 1 species
UACGUAGGGGGCAAGCGUUGUCCGGAAUCAUUGGGCGUAAAGCGUGCGCAGGCGGCCUUGCAGGUCGGGCGUGAAAUCCCACGGCUCAACCGUGGAAGUGCACUCGAAACUGCUCGGCUAGAGUCUUGGAGAGGAAGGCGGAAUGCUUGGUGUAGAGGUGAAAUUCGUAGAUAUCAAGCGGAACACCGGUGGCGAAGGCGGCCUUCUGGACAAUGACUGACGCUAAAACACGAAAGCGUGGGGAGCAAACAGG